rnacentral:snRNA from 1 species
CCAGCUCUCUUAGCCUUUUUGGCUUCGAUCAAGUGCAGUGGUCCUCCUUUUGGCUUAAUCGCCAGGACGUGUCUACGCGACACAUUACUCUUGACUAAACUGAUUUUUGGAACACGAACCCGGGGGCGGCUGGGGUCUCCCUAUUCUCCCGCAUGUUCACAGUGUCGCCUGUAUUGCACUGUCUCGGGCUGACGCGAACCAGC